UACGAAGGGGGCUAGCGUUGCUCGGAAUUACUGGGCGUAAAGCGCACGUAGGCGGAUUGUUAAGUCGGGGGUGAAAUCCUGGAGCUCAACUCCAGAACUGCCUUUGAUACUGGCGAUCUUGAGUCCGGGAGAGGUGAGUGGAACUGCGAGUGUAGAGGUGAAAUUCGUAGAUAUUCGCAAGAACACCAGUGGCGAAGGCGGCUCACUGGCCCGGUACUGACGCUGAGGUGCGAAAGCGUGGGGAGCAAACAGG
rnacentral:rRNA from 1 species